rnacentral:rRNA from 1 species
AUUGAACGCUGGCGGCAUGCCUUACACAUGCAAGUCGAACGGCAGCACGGGUGCUUGCACCUGGUGGCGAGUGGCGAACGGGUGAGUAAUACAUCGGAACAUGUCCUGUAGUGGGGGAUAGCCCGGCGAAAGCCGGAUUAAUACCGCAUACGAUCCACGGAUGAAAGCGGGGGACCUUCGGGCCUCGCGCUAUAGGGUUGGCCGAUGGCUGAUUAGCUAGUUGGUGGGGUAAAGGCCUACCAAGGCGACGAUCAGUAGCUGGUCUGAGAGGACGACCAGCCACACUGGGACUGAGACACGGCCCAGACUCCUACGGGAGGCAGCAGUGGGGAAUUUUGGACAAUGGGCGAAAGCCUGAUCCAGCAAUGCCGCGUGUGUGAAGAAGGCCUUCGGGUUGUAAAGCACUUUUGUCCGGAAAGAAAUCCUUGACUCUAUUACAGUCGGGGGAUGACGGUACCGGAAGAAUAAGCACCGGCUAACUACGUG